CGGGAGACUGUUCAGCCUCAGGUUUUGCGGCUGGUUGGGUUAGGAGUGUGGCCUGCUUGACAGCAGGAAGGGAUUCAAGAACAACAGAGGGGAAGGCCCAACUUUAUUAGUGAUGGGAAUUUGACAGGUCUCACAUUUGAGACGAAUUCUUGAGAGGAACCCUCAGAAAUAUACAUGUCUCCAAGAUGGAGCCCAAUGCCAUUGAGAUUUUCAUUUAAGCUUGCAAGGACUUCAUUCCAGUCCUCCUGUUUCAUAGCAAGCUUUAAAAGAUCCUCCAAAUCUUGGUAGUGAUUCCAACGUGCCAUAAUGUCUAUAAACGAAGAAAAGUCAUAUGGUGAAGGGUGCUGAGAAAGCUAAGGAGCUAACGGUGUUCCGUUGUAUAAGUUUUUCCCAAAUGUCAGACUCCAGAAGAAAAAAACAAAACACUAAGCACUUAAUAACACUAAAUACACUAAAGUAGGUUUGGUGAUUUAAGAUGUAGCUAUUAGCUAAGCACCCAUAGCUAUUACGAGGUAUUUUUAUUGGCAGUUUGGCAUAGUAAGGCAGUGGUAGAUUAAAAUAUUUUGUCUGCUAGUUUGAAGGGAAGUUAUUUUCAACGUCAGCAAUGGAUAAGCAGAUGAUUGAUUCACUUUUUAUAACGUCAUCAUAUUGGAUUAUAAUUUCCCCAGUUGGGAUUAUGCAUAGUUAUUUUUACUCACGUCAUACAUUAAAUUGAAUUAUCAAUAAUAACGAAACGCAAAAUGAAGCGAUUGCCAAUAAAUCUGGAAGAAAUUAAAGUUACAAUAUCAUACAUUGGUUCAAAUACUCUUUUGUCAGACCCUCUGCUAUGGAAUCGUUGAAUAUUUAUAUAAUAACUGAGGAGUAAUACUGGAAUGAAAUAUAUAGCGAGGAACAAAGAGACUGAUCAUCCUUCAAUUGCAUGUCUUCCAUUGGAUUAAGCUUGAAAGUCAUUUUCUGAAUUAUUAAAUGACUUAGUCAUUAUAUUCAAAUAUUAAUAUUUAAUAAAUAAAUUAAGGAUAUGUAAA
rnacentral:lncRNA from 1 species